rnacentral:rRNA from 1 species
GAUGAACGCUGACAGAAUGCUUAACACAUGCAAGUCUACUUGAACUUCGGUUUGGGUGGCGGACGGGUGAGUAACGCGUAAAGAACUUGCCUCACAGUUAGGGACAACAUUUGGAAACGAAUGCUAAUACCUGAUAUUAUGAUUUUAGGGCAUCCUAGGAUUAUGAAAGCUAUAUGUGCUGUGAGAGAGCUUUGCGUCCCAUUAGCUAGUUGGAGAGGUAACGGCUCACCAAGGCGAUGAUGGGUAGCCGGCCUGAGAGGGUGAACGGCCACAAGGGGACUGAGACACGGCCCUUACUCCUACGGGAGGCAGCAGUGGGGAAUAUUGGACAAUGGACCAAAAGUCUGAUCCAGCAAUUCUGUGUGCACGAUGACGCUUUUCGGAAUGUAAAGUGCUUUCAGUUGGGAAGAAAAAAAUGACGGUACCAACAGAAGAAGUGACGGCUAAAUACGUG